AUUGAACGCUGGCGGCAUGCUUUACACAUGCAAGUCGAACGGUAACAGGCCGCAAGGUGCUGACGAGUGGCGAACGGGUGAGUAACGCAUCGGAACGUGCCCAGUCGUGGGGGAUAACGCAGCGAAAGCUGCGCUAAUACCGCAUACGAUCUAUGGAUGAAAGCGGGGGACCGUAAGGCCCCGCGCGAUUGGAGCGGCCCAUGUCAGAUUAGGUAGUUGGUGGGGUAAAGGCUCACCAAGCCAACGAUCUGUAGCUGGUCUGAGAGGACGACCAGCCACACUGGGACUGAGACACGGCCCAGACUCCUACGGGAGGCAGCAGUGGGGAAUUUUGGACAAUGGGCGCAAGCCUGAUCCAGCAAUGCCGCGUGCAGGAAGAAGGCCUUCGGGUUGUAAACUGCUUUUGUACGGAACGAAACGGUCCUGGUUAAUACCUGGGGCUAAUGACGGUACCGUAAGAAUAAGCACCGGCUAACUACGUGCCAGCCGCCGCUGUAAUAC
rnacentral:rRNA from 1 species